rnacentral:rRNA from 1 species
GAUGAACGCUGGCGGCGUGCCUAACACAUGCAAGUCGAACGAAGCACCUUACCUGAUUCUUCGGAUGAAAGUUUGGUGACUGAGUGGCGGACGGGUGAGUAACGCGUGGGUAACCUGCCCUGUACAGGGGGAUAACAGCUGGAAACGGCUGCUAAUACCGCAUAAGCGCACGAGGAGACAUCUCCUUGUGUGAAAAACUCCGGUGGUACAGGAUGGGCCCGCGUCUGAUUAGCUGGUUGGCAGGGUAACGGCCUACCAAGGCAACUAGCAGUAGCCGGACUGAGAGGGUGAACGGCCACAUUGGAACUGAGACACGGUCCAAACGCCGACGGGCGGCAGCAGUGGGGACUAUUGCACAAUGGGGGAAACCCUGAUGCAGCAACGCCGCGUGAGUGAAGAAGUAUUUCGGUAUGUAAAGCUCUAUCAGCAGGGAAGAUAAUGACGGUACCGGACUAAGAAGCUCCGGCUAAAUACGG